UCCGCAAACAAACAGAUGAAGAAGAGGAGGAGGAUGACGGUCCAGCGCAUACAAGGAGAAAGUAACCGAGAGAAGUGUCAUCGCAGAAGAAAUGGCAGAAGUUCCUCAGACAGCUGUGAACACCGAGCAGUGCUUGGAGUCAGACAGUGCACAUCAUCUUUAUUAUACUUCUCUGACUGGACUAGCAAGGAGCAGUUAGAGUCGAUAAGAAAAACUCAAAAGAAGAUAUUUUGAAGAAUUCUGGUAAUCAAAACCAACAGGUGCAGAAAUGAAAGCUCCCAAGCAAAGUACUCACUGGACUAAGAUGUGGAAAGACAUGCUGCACAAUGACCCACAAUGAGCAACAACCAAGAACAGUAUUCACUGAUUACCUUUAAAAAUUAUUCAUAGUAACAGUUAGGUAAUAAUUAUUUAAAUUAUUUUACCAAGUACAAAAUGUUUAAUUCCAAAACUUUG